ACCUAAUCCAAGUGUAUCGUAUUGCUUGUGUUUCAUGCUAUAUCGGUAUUAAAGGGUAGUGGAAUACGGCCUUUACCACCACUAGUAUUAAUUAACACUUCGACUAUCGAUUGCCUUCCAUUGUUUAUCGCGCGAAAAAGCCGCCGUUUUCUUAAUUUCCUCGUUUACGACCAAUUUAAUUUCUUUUGUUGUGGCUGCUUAAUGAGCCGCACAAUGGAGUCCGUGAAAAGCCACUCAAAGUGCUCUACGACCCUGCAGGAAGGUGUGAACACGGGGCAGACGGCUGUCAAGUUCAAGUUCGGCUGAGAAUUGUUUUGGGCAGAUUCGUAUCGGGCCACCACCGCCAGCCACAAGGCAGUAGCUUCGCAGCCGCAGCCCGCACCAUCAUCAUCAUCUACUGCUCGUGGAGGUUCUAUGUUGUUUUUAGUUUUCAAUUGCUCGCUUCACGCCAUGCAACGCUAACGGCCUUGCUAAACAAUAGAUUCAGCCGCCAGUCGCUGUCGUCGGUUGCUGCCUUCGCCGUCUGUGCCUCCUGCACUUUUGCCUCCGCCUCCACCUCCGCCUCUGCUACUGCCUGCUACCUGUGUAUCUCUGCCACUAUGCGGCUGCUACUUUUAUCAAUUGACAGGCGUCGGCGGCGUCACAAUAAGCAGCACAUGCACUCAACUGAGGGAACAGCAGCCCCGGCGAUGCAACAAUUAAAGGCGUGCGAGUAAAGAUGUGCGAAACCGAUGUGGGGAUGCUGAUGUAGAUGAUGAUGCGGCUGCUGAACGGCUCCCAUGACAUUGAGCGGCGCGCCGUGUGUGCCAGGCCCCGGGAACGACUACAAUGAGCAAUUUUUCGAAGCCAAGCGGUUGGAUGGAUGGCUGGAUGGAUGGCUCGCUCGCUCGAAUGCUUGUUAACAGCCACAAUGACAACGGCAGACAGAUGACGACGUUGCACGUCAACGCUCAAGUGCAUCCGUUAUAACUGUCAAUGGGCAUUAACUCUUGUGGCGCACUGUGUCGCCGCUCUCUGCUCUGCUGUUGUUUUCGGCAACAGGUCCAGUGGACAAAGAUCUAAUCAAUUUUUGUCUGAACUCGACAGCGGCUGCGACCACCUUGAUGUUCAUGUCCCGAACCCGACAACAGCGACGACGACGACGUCGACGACUUGAGGCCAAUUUACUUUACUUUUCAUUCAUGUUGUACUACGGCGGGUACUACGGCAGUGGGAAUAACCCAGAAGGAAAAGAAUAAGAGAAAAAACUCUGCAGUUGCAGUUGCAGUUGCAGAUUGCAGUUUGCAGUUUGUGGCAAAGCGAAAGACUCUGGCAGCGAACUUGCGGCACUCACUCUUCUGGAAAAGCUCAAGACGAAAUGGAGGGAGAGAUUCUUUUCCACAGAAGUGGAACCUCAAACGAAAGACUGUGGCAACGAACUUGCCGGAGAACAUUUUCGGGAAAAGUCUAACAGGGAAAAGGAACAGAGCGCUUUCUUGGGACUUGGGAAGGAUUAGCGGCUUUUGCAGUUCUUUAAACGGACGGAAGACAGGGAAUGUCACAGAAGUUCCACUGUUCUAAUCCACACCUUUUCCACCAUCGUACUCGUACAGCCAAGAAGUCAAAGAACUACAACAGCAUUUAGUUGAUGAUGGGACUUGAAGAGCUUGUGGAUUUCUUGCUGACGCACCGGCAUCAUCUCCAUCAUCAUCACCAUGAUCUCUGACGAAGAGGCACAUCAAUCAAAUGCCUCAUUGUACAUUGUUUUUACACAUUUCGACUACAAGGGCCGUCACUUGAACUUGACAUUUGGUGUAAGUGACUAUUAGGGGAAGUGCCAUGAGAAGGUUCUUCUUCUCGUUCCGAGUCCAGCCCAGAGUCAGAGUCAGAGUCAGUGUCGGAGUCAGAGCCAAGCCUUUGGCAAUUAGCCGUGAAUAUCAAUCAGCGCACCAUUUGAGUGGAAAAACCGCUCAGCUUUUAAUUACACAAAAAGCUCUUUGUGCUGUGCUGUGUGUGGGACUGAGAGUGGCUCGAAGGCCUCCCAUGUCCCCGCCCACGGUCACCACAACGCCUCUGCAACACACACCCGACUCAAUCUUGGAUGUCGAUGGCGAUGUGGCUCUGGCUGUCGAUGUUUGUUACCAAGUCGCUUGUUAGAAUCUCACUUUUUCUCUCUUUCUCAUACAUAUAUGCAAAGCGGGCUUGUUGUUGGUCUCGGUCUUAGCCCCGGCUUGCGGGUAAUAAGCCAAUUGGCGUUGGCCACACUGCUCGUACAUUUUAAUCAAGCCAACAGAGUUGUAAAGCCCACGCACCAUCCAAGCCAAAUAUGUUCCGAGGUGUCGCCAAAGCUGUGAGAUGGCGGCAGCUGUCGACCUUCGCGGCGUUGACUCAUGGCCUGUCCCUGUCCAUAACCGACCAACUAGCUAGAACCGGAGCUGAUGAAAUUGAGGAGGCUUUUUGGGAAUACUUGGGGCGGAAAACCCGAAAGGCAAUGACCAAAGAUCAUGCAGUGCUAAAACAAGAAUUUCUUGGCCAGAAUUUGGUUAAAAGUUUUGCUGAAUCUUCUAGGUUUCUGGUCGUCUUGAAUUGUCAUAAUAUUCUCCACGCUUCUUGAAUGCUUCUUGCUAAUACUUUUUUCAGGCGCCAUUCAGGCGAUAGUUCCUUCCAUUUUGAGGAAGCCAGAAGUGACUGUCAAGCUUAAUUAACAGAAGCGCCUAGUCCGACAACGUCUCGUACUUCUAUGGCUACUGUUGACUAUAUCACUUACUGCGGUGGCUGGCUGAGGCCUGAGGGGUGUCUGGCCACUGGCCACUGGCCACUGGGCACCGGCCACCGGUUGCCGGUUGCUGGUUGCCAAUUCGAUUAGGCCACGCAAAUGUAAUUUAAUAAAUGCGGUUGCCCAUGUUGAUUAGCAUGUGCGGUUUUAGCAAUUUACGAGUAGUGGCACGCAUCCGCGCAUCCACAGGAUAUGAGCUGGCACUACGACAAUGACAGGAUGCGUCAGUGCUCUCUGAAGUCAAGGCGAACUCCAAGCUGAACUCCGCACCGAACUCUCCACCGCUGGUCUGGAGACAGGGGAAAUGUUUAUGGUUAUGUGCUCGCCUGCGGUGGCAGCUUCAAACGCUUGGUGAUUGAAUUUUAAAUUGUGGCUGUACGUGCAGCAGGCUCCCCAUGCUCUCUGCUGUGGCAAGAUUAAUUUAAAUGAAGUUAUUAGCCAGCCCGAUUGUGCAUUGACAGGGCGCAAACAAAAGACCUAGGCUCCAGCUUCAGCUUCAGCGCCAGCGCCAGCCCCUGCUCCAGGUCCAACUCCUACUCCGACUGCAGCUUAAGGUGCCCUGAUAUGGGGAUAUGGGAUAUACAAUAUGCAUGUCUACAACGGGUUUUCGUCUGGCACAUUGUUGUACGAGUGCCCGCAGUAGUAGUUGUUGCUCUGCAUUUGAAAGUUAAAUUACGGUAGCGAUAUCGGAGCAGACAUUCCGUUAAUUGGCCGCACAACAGGCGGAGAUCUGGCUGCGGCUAGUAGCUGUCGUUGCUCUUCAGGAAGAGAUGUUGGUGUUCUGGAUACUCUUUUUUUUUUUACAGGAAUUAAAGAAUUUUUGGUAUUUCCCAGAAGUUUUGCUACCAGAGAUCUCUAGAGCGAGGGGCUAUGGGAGCAACAUUUUAGAAUCAAGCCUUAAGAUAUUCGGGGGAUUAUUUUCUUAUGCGAUGUAUGGGAUGUUGCAAGAGGGAUGAAGAAGAGUAGGGACUAUCUCUAACAAUUUUUGUAGAUUUUAGAACAUUUUUAGCAGUCGUUUUUGCAUAUGUUUUUUCAAAUACUAAAGACACUUUCCACGGAAGCUUGAAGUGGAUUUUAAUCCCUCCUUUUUGUGUUGAUUAUUCCGAUUAUUCGCACAUAUAGAAUCAAAGUUUUGGGUCAGAAAAAAUAUGCUCGAAACCGAGAAGUUUAUACGAACAAAUAGAACUGUGUUAUAGAUUGAAACUGUAUUCCAUUUAGCUACUUUUUUGUGUAUCUUUUGGUAAGUGCAACCAAUCUUCGCUGUGCCCCAGCAGCAUUACCUUCUGUGUCUGUUUUUUUGUUUUUCUUAUUUUGGCUAAGUCCGCUUUACAGUUGCUACGAAAAUUGUUGCAAAUUGCAGUUUAAAAAGUUUCCGUGUUGGCUGUUGCGCGGCACCAAUGUUGUUGGUGGCGGCAGCGGCAGCGCCAGAGUCUGCGACUCGACGGCGACUGCAACUAAUAUGAGUCAUAAAUUUAAAGGCUUAACUCGAGAUGGAGGCUGUGCCGUUGACAGGGAUUUUUUAAAUGAAAUAAAUAAACGGCAUUACAGCUAGUUAUAUGCAGCGAGAUCAGGGUCUUGUGCGGCAUAAACCACGGCAACAACUACAGCAACAGCGACGGCAACAGCGACAUCUGUGCGACAGAGUGUUGGUGGCGGCACUCGAAUGUUGAACUGAAUCUGAAUCGGAACUCACUCGUAACUGGGCUGGGCCAAAGUCGUCUGGUUACUUUUGCAUUUGGUUGCAUGCUGCCCCGUCUCUGCAUGAGACGAAGCCAUUUUAUUGAUACAGAUACUCGUAGAGGCCAAAAUUUGGGGUCCACUAAAACCAAAGAGCCGCUUGAUGUCUGCUGUUUUUUUUGGCAAUUCCUUUGCCACGGACCCGCAGCAUGACAUCAUUUUGAGUUACUCCGAAUCCGAAGCCGAAUCCCAAUUCAGGUCUUUUGUGGCUGCAGCAGCCCUACACAGCGAAAAAACUGGUCGCCGUUUUACUUUCGCUUUUGUGUUGAUCUUUUGCUGACUUCGUUUCGGUUUCUGUGCUGCUGCUUUUUUGGCAGAGAUGUUUCGAUGGUCUCCAUUUUUCUGUUUUUGGGUCAUCCCAAAGAAGUAUCCGCGUAUAUGGCAAUGAAAACGAAACCGAGUUCUGGUGAAAGUAGGCUGGAAAACGCAUAACAAGUGCAAGUCAAAGGAGGACCACAUGGUCGGUGCUGUGGCACGCUGAGCGAUUGUGUCAUGGUUGGAGCCCACGCAUCGCAUCGCCCACAAAGCCACCAAAAGCCUCCACAGACUAAUGAUGUUAGACGCUUCGAAGACAGACAACAGGCACAGGUUGGCACUGACUUAGGCCUUAGCUUUUGCUUUAGAUUUGGUUUUGGCUUUGGGUUUCGUCUUCAAGUGAUUUGCUCAUCUGGUUCGGUGCCCACACAGUUUGACUCUUUUUGGCUAUGCGGCAGUCAGAAGAGAUCAAUGCGAAAUGCCUUUUGUGCGAAAAUUAAUUAGAAUUUUGUGGCUUUGGAUAUUGGCUGCUCCGAUGCUUUGGCUGCUCUGAUGCUCUGGCUGGGAAAAGACCUUGAGUGGCAGCUCCAAUCGAACCAAAGUUGCGGUUCAAGAGACUGUGUGGGAUGCAGAAACUAGUUGGGGAUCAGAGCAGCCAAAUGAGUCAGUGUCUCGGCAAACGCUUGGGUCAUCGUAGAUCGUAAUGGCUCUGAUGGAAUGGAGAGAGAAGCCUCGCAACAUGACUUACGAAUUACACAAAAUCGCUUGUAUCAAUCUUCAACCCGGUUGAAAGUAGCCAAAUCUCUUUCCCACGAGUUUCACUUGGCUAUAAAACUUCAGUUUUAUUUGCAUUCAAUAAAGGUUUCAUCGACCAAUGCCGCUUGUUGGCCAAGUCUUUGUUUCCUACUGCAAUAAAUCGCGAAAAGUCUCGAUAAGUGUACCAAGAGUGCUGUAGACUGAAACAAGUUUCUUUCUCAAGUCUUUCGAUCUUGCAAUUAAAAUCUCUCCCUCUGAUAGAGAUCUCUGCAAAAUGUGAAAGAUGUGUCGCCUUAUGCCGGGGCUCUUCUGGGGUUUGGAAGGGGAGUCGCCAGCGAAGCAUUCACUGGGUUUUUUGGGUCCCUUGGCUCAUUUAAUUGUGGCAAUUUCUUUCGCCCACGCAGGGAGUGAGUCAAGCGCUUUGGCUCAUAAUUUAUAGGCAUUAUUAUUGUAAUUUCUCCCAGACGCCGCGGCAGAUCGCACGCAAAACAAUCAGACAUACACGUAAAGUGAAAGUUUUGCACCUUUUGCCGCACAGCAAACAGCUAACAAACGCAUCGGCACUACCAGCUUGAAGAAAACAAAAGUAGUCAGGCAGUCAGUCAGUCAGUCAGUCAGGCGGUUUGAAAAAUCAGUUAGCGAGUCAGUCAGUCAGUGCGAUCCCCCAAAGAUGAGCCACGAACUCCAACCAAAGUACUACCUACGACCAGACCAAAGACAAUGGCUUUCAAAUGACUGGCAGCCACUCGUGGCUUUGGCUCCAACCAAAACUGGCGCCGACUGACUGACAAAUGAGAGCUGCAGUAGUCGCCUUUUUCUGACCAAAAAAAAAAAAAUAAACCAAAACAAGACACAGCCAGAGCUCUCCUACUGGCAUCGGUACCAUCAAUAAGCCGUGAGCAAUUUUCGGCAAAAGCUGUGGGCAAAUAUUUCGACAAAUUUUCGCAUGCCAAACGUGCGUUUGCCUUGGCCACAAAAAUCACUCUCAAGAGUCAAACAAAUCCCCCAAAAAUCUAGACAAUCUCGUACAAGAAACACAACAAAAAAACUGGCUUCGAAGCAUUGGAUACCCUUAAAAAUAUAGAUCUAUAUUUAAUAAUUCGUAUGAAAACAGAUUAAAGUAAAGCUUCUUCAGAGUGGUAAGAUUAUCUUCAGAGAGAAAAAAACUUGUUCUCUCAAAGACUUGCUUCUCGACAGAUAGGAAUAGAUACAUAUUGAAGCUGAAGUUUCAGACAGAUGGCUGUAUGGACUGAAAUCAUAAUUAUAAUACCUCGCUAGUACCCUAGGUUUUUUCUGACCUCAGCUUUAGGGCCCAGCUUCAUUUUUGGUCACCUUCUGGGACACUUGUAGUGCCUUGACAAACUCUUUCUUUGGACAUUCGGGCAAAAGUGUGUCAAGCCAGCAUUUGAAGCAAUUAUUUGUCAUAUUUUCUAUUUGUGUUUGGGUUUCGUCUUCCACAAAUGAGAUGCAGAGAAAAUAAACAGCAUUAGUGGAGAGCUCAUGACCAAAAAUCCCAGUGACAAGGCGUCUUCGGGCCCGUUUUCAUCUGCGUAUUCAUCUUCUCCAAACUCUCGACUCAUCAAAUCCCACCAUGACUUUGGCUUGGGAUUUUGCACAAAUGAAAGUGAACGUUUCUUUUUGUUGUUUCCACUUGUUGUUUUGUUUUGGUUUUAACACUGCACUGGGGUGGAAAAAACGGAAAUUUGUCAUGUA
rnacentral:sRNA from 1 species